CACGUAGGGCGCAAGCGUUGUCCGGAAUUAUUGGGCGUAAAGAGCUCGUAGGCGGUUUGUCGCGUCGAAUGUGAAAACCCGGGGCUCAACCCCGGGCCUGCAUUCGAUACGGGCAGACUAGAGUUCGGUAGGGGAGUCUGGAAUUCCUGGUGUAGCGGCGAAAUGCGCAGAUAUCAGGAGGAACACCGGUGGCGAAAGCGGCUCACUGGACAGUAACUGACGCUGAUGCACGAAAGCUAGGGGAGCAAACAGG
rnacentral:rRNA from 1 species